UGCCAUGUUUGGUUCGUUACUGGGGACAAAGCCAUCACAUCCGUCUCAUCCCCCACGCAGCCCACCAAACCAAGGAAUAGAAUAAAAGAGAAGGGGAAGGGAGUGGGCGACAGCAGACCGACGCCUCCGUCUUCCCGCAAUCCGAAGACUGUACGGGUCUUGCUGUGCCACGCUAUAGAAAGAGGUUAUGGAGAAUGAAAUUGCAGAUAGUGAGUUGUUGAGUCAGCUCAAUGAGACAAACAUCACUUGGAAGCAGGAGUUGGAAUGGCAUCAAUCUCAAGUUGAAACUUUACAAGAAAAAAUUUUGGAGGUUAAGGCUAACAUCCAAUGUUCUGAGGAUGAAGGGAACAAAGAGUUAGAAUUUCUUUGGCACAGAGUCAACGCUACCACAACAUUGCUGACCUACCUGAAAUCAAAGGCGAAAGUUAUGGCUGUUCCUCAUUUAGCCUAUACUUCAUGUGGGAUUAAACAUCAAGAGGGGGUAGGGUUUAUUGACAAGCAUGGCAUACCAUUGUCUGGUUGGUCUAAGGAUAUUGAUCUUUCUUCUUUUGAAAGUUCAGAUGAGGAGAUGCAUUUGGCAGGUAGCAUUGACCUUGGAUCUGUUGAUGCUAAUGACAGAGCAUAUAUUGGCUAUGUAUUGAAGUCAGUUCAUGUUGUAACAGAUGUUAUGGAAUCUCUUGUUAAGAGGGUUAUAAUGGCAGAAACUGAAGCUGCUAGAGAAAAAGAAAAAGUGAAGUUUGGUUUGGAAGAAAUUAAAAAGGAAACACUCCAAAUUGAGAGCUUGUCAGCAAAAGUUGGAGAGAUGGAGAAGUUUGCAGUGGGUACAAAUAAUGUUUUGAUUGAAAUGCGGCAGAAGGUUGAAGAUAUGGUGCAAGAAACAUCUAGACAACGACAACGAUCUGCAGAAAAUGAACAGGAGCUUUGUCGUUUGAAGCAGGAUUUUGAAUCACUGAGAUCCUAUGUUAGCAGCCUCAUCAGUGUCAGAGAAACCCUUCUUUCAUCAGAGAAGCAAUUUCAGACAAUUGAGAAACUUUUUGACAGGCUACUUGUCAAGACCACUCAUCUGGAGAAUGAGAAGAUGCAGAAAGAGGCUGAAGUUCAGAAGCUCAUGGAGGAGAAUGUUAGUCUGAGAGCUCUGUUGGACAAGAAGGAGGCACAAUUGCUGGCCAUGAAUGAACAGUGCAAGUUCAUGGCAUUGAAUAAUUCUAACAUUUAGUUCAUCAUUUACCUUCCAUUUUUCAAACCAAAGAUUGCCUUAUAAUGAAUGCUUAUUGGAUGGAGGAGAUGUGGCACCACUGGUUGCAAUUAUGAAGUGCAACAAAAUAGUCCCUGAUCUUGGAGUGCAGAAUAAGGAGAAGAUGGAACAAAAAGUGUUGGUAAUUGGAUGCGCAUUUGGUCUUUCAAAGAACAAGCAAGUGCAUCAUGUUGCCGAGGAUUAUUAGGGUCCAGAGGACCACUCAAGAAGAAAGAUGUCCAACAUUUUCUCAUCUAACCCAUCUACGACACGAUUCAGCAAUGUAGAGGUCUUGGACCUGAUGCCACUUGUGUGUUUUUGACAGGUCGUCCAAUGCCGAUGCAAAUGAGGAGCCCUAUAUGCACACAAAGAAGAUCAAUCUUUGCUUGCAUGUGGUUGGCAUGGACAAACAGAGUAGCGAGAUGUUGAGAUUGUGACAGGCCACUGUCAUGGAAUGUUAAGGAGAUGCAAUACAUAUAGGAGGAUAUCUGAAAUUUUUCUCCCCUUCUAAUGAUCAGUGGAGGCACUUGGAAGAUUGCUAUAAACAAGCAUCAGAUGGAAGUCUUUCUUUUAUCCAAGGGUUGGUUAUGAAGUUGGGAUUUGUGCAUUGUAAGAUGAUGGAAGAUGUGUUCAAAGGAGCUUUGUUUUCAUUCUUCAAACAAUAAGUUUGGGCAUGCGUAAUGCAUGUAAGAGGUAGAUGGAUGGGUGUGAUCCCUCGAAGUGGUCAACGAUUUCUUUUUAUUGUUAAUAUUGUUUGAUGAAUACAUGCUCAAUUUUGGGAGAGUGCUCCUAUCUUCUCUUCCUGCAUAGCCAAACAGCUUAAUUUAUUCGAGACGGUAGUCAUGAGAAUGUGAAG